GCUGGAAUAGCACAAUUGGCAGUGCAAUCGCCCUGUGGGCAAUAGGUUGUAAGUUCGAGUCUUACUUUCAGCA
rnacentral:tRNA from 1 species